UGGGGAAUUUUGGACAAUGGGGGCAACCCUGAUCCAGCAAUGCCGCGUGUGUGAAGAAGGCCUUCGGGUUGUAAAGCACUUUUGGCGGGAACGAAACGGACUUGGCUAAUACCCGAGUCUACUGACGGUACCCGCAGAAUAAGCACCGGCUAACUACGUGCCAGCAGCCGCGGUAAUACGUAGGGUGCAAGCGUUAAUCGGAAUUACUGGGCGUAAAGCGUGCGCAGGCGGUUUUGUAAGACGGAUGUGAAAUCCCCGGGCUCAACCUGGGAACUGCAUUCGUGACUGCAAGGCUAGAGUGCGUCAGAGGGAGGUGGAAUUCCGCGUGUAGCAGUGAAAUGCGUAGAGAUGCGGAGGAACACCGAUGGCGAAGGCAGCCUCCUGGGAUGACACUGACGCUCAUGCACGAAAGCGUGGGGAGCAAACAGG
rnacentral:rRNA from 1 species